GUUGUAGCUUCGAUGAGAACCCUCCGAUGCUCAAGUCAGAAAGUAGAGAACAAAGAAGUAGUAACGGAUUCUCUGAGAGGGAUUUGAUUUGACUUACCUGGAUCCUUGGGGCUCUGGUUGUUUAUAUAGAAAGAUAUCGGACAGCUGGGUUGUUAGCUGUGAGAUCGCACGAUCUCGAGAUUGUCGAGUUGUUGGAUAUGUCAAAUUGAGCGAGAUAAUUCAACCCUUGAUCACUCC
rnacentral:lncRNA from 1 species